AGUGAACGCUGGCGGUAGGCCUAACACAUGCAAGUCGAACGGCAGCACAGUAAGAGCUUGCUCUUACGGGUGGCGAGUGGCGGACGGGUGAGGAAUACAUCGGAAUCUACUUUUUCGUGGGGGAUAACGUAGGGAAACUUACGCUAAUACCGCAUACGACCUACGGGUGAAAGCAGGGGAUCUUCGGACCUUGCGCGAUUGAAUGAGCCGAGGUCGGAUUAGCUAGUUGGCGGGGUAAAGGCCCACCAAGGCGACGAUCCGUAGCUGGUCGGAGAGGAUGGUCGGCCACACUGGAACUGAGACACGGUCCAGACUCCUACGGGAGGCAGCAGUGGGGAAUAGUGGACAAUGGGCGCAAGCCUGAUCCAGCCAUACCGCGUGGGUGAAGAAGGCCUUCGGGUUGUAAAGCCCUUUUGUUGGGAAAGAAAAGCAGCAGGUUAAUACCCCGCUGUUCUGACGGUACCCAAAGAAUAAGCACCGGCUAACUUCGUG
rnacentral:rRNA from 1 species